rnacentral:lncRNA from 1 species
UGUGUUUGGUUGUUGAUUGAUUUGUUUGCAGGUUCUGACAUUAAGUACUAAGUCUGGCUUAGGUACCGGAUUAAGCUUGGUGUGUAUUUCGUUAGUGUAGGCCUGACAUUGGUAUGUAUGUGUUUGAGGGAUUGCUUGUGAAGGGUGGUGCAUAUUAAAGCUAUGCGGUAUCAUUGGUUGGCCGAUCAUGUUCUUGUCUGAUUGUUGGUCGACCGACUAAUGAUACUUGCAUAGUUUAAGUAUCUAACACUACAUCAAUACUGAGCUCAAGCGUAUAUAUGGUUAACUAGGGAUUGGUUGUUGAGUUGUUUUAAUGCAGGUUCCCGU